rnacentral:rRNA from 1 species
UCCUACGGGAGGCAGCAGUGGGGAAUAUUGCACAAUGGGCGAAAGCCUGAUCCAGCAAUGCCGCGUGUGUGAAGAAGGCCUUCGGGUUGUAAAGCACUUUUAUCAGGAACGAAAUACCACGGGUUAAUAACCUAUGGGGCUGACGGUACCUGAGGAAUAAGCACCGGCUAACUUCGUGCCAGCAGCCGCGGUAAUACGAAGGGUGCAAACGUUAAUCGGAAUUACUGGGCGUAAAGGGUGCGUAGGCGGUUGUUUAAGUCUGUCGUGAAAUCCCCGGGCUCAACCUGGGAAUGGCGAUGGAUACUGGACAGCUAGAGUGUGUCAGAGGAUGGUGGAAUUUCCGGUGUAGCGGUGAAAUGCGUAGAGAUCGGAAGGAACAUCAGUGGCGAAGGCGGCCAUCUGGGACAACACUGACGCUGAAGCACGAAAGCGUGGGGAGCAAACAGGAUUAGAUACCCUGGUAGUCCACGCCCUAAACGAUGCGAACUGGAUGUUGGUCUCAACUCGGAGAUCAGUGUCGAAGCUAACGCGUUAAGUCCGCCGCCUGGGGAGUACGGUCGCAAGACUGAAACUCAAAUGAAUUGACGGGG